UUCUAUUUCAUCUUCCACCUUGUUUUGUUCUAAUGUAUGUCACAAUCUGUGUUUUCAUUGGCUUUGGUUAGCUUUACUUUUGUUUCAUGUCUAUUUUUGAUGUGUCUGUCUGUCAACUCAUUAGGUUUUUGGUUCCACCUGAUCUCGUCAGCCAUGUUCCAUGGAUCUCCCAUUCAGCUCCCUCAAGCCACUUGCAUCUUCUCCAGUGAAUAAUGGAUGGAGUCAGCGAAUAGGAAACAUUUAUGGGAGGGGAAAGUAGUCGCCUUAUUUCCGCCCACCCAAAGCAACUUGAGAGACAUCCAAACAAAUCAAAGUUUGAUACACAAUGACUCAGCACAGAGGCAACUGCUGCACUCAAGACCGACCAUCAGACAUAACAACAUCAGACACUCACCUGGGACAGACGUGCCCAGGGCCACAAACAC